GAUGAACGCUGGCGGCGUGCCUAAUACAUGCGAGUCGAGCGAACAGACGAGGAGCUUGCUCCUCUGACGUUAGCGGCGGACGGGUGAGUAACACGUGGAUAACCUACCUAUAAGACUGGGAUAACUUCGGGAAACCGGAGCUAAUACCGGAUAAUAUAUUGAACCGCAUGGUUCAAUAGUGAAAGACGGUUUUGCUGUCACUUAUAGAUGGAUCCGCGCCGCAUUAGCUCGUUGGUAAGGUAACGGCUUACCAAGGCGACGAUGCGUAGCCGACCUGAGAGGGUGAUCGGCCACCCUGGAACUGAGACACGGUCCAGACUCCUACGGGAGGCAGCAGUAGGGAAUCUUCCGCAAUGGGCGAAAGCCUGACGGAGCAACGCCGCGUGAGUGAUGAAGGUCUUCGGAUCGUAAAACUCUGUUAUUAGGGAAGAACAAAUGUGUAAGUAACUAUGCACGUCUUGACGGUACCUAAUCAGAAAGCCACGGCUAACUACGUG
rnacentral:rRNA from 1 species